UUGUGCCUCUUCGUGAUACUCUCUCUAAAACCUCUGAUGAUCUGGGUUCACUUUUCAGCAUAGCACUUUUAGUACCCUAACUCAAUUUGGUUUUGAAAUAAAUAGUGUUUCAUUACUGAGACCUGCUCUCUUUCAAAUCUGCUGGUUGAUGCUCUUGAGAAGUGUUCAUGUUGAUGUUAUCUUGGAAAAGCUCUGCUUGAUUGCUCUGUGUGUGAUUACAACUUGGAAGUUCAUAUUUCUUGGGUCAUGGUAGUAUAGGAUCAACUAUUGUGUAUGAUUAAAUGUAUAUGUUGUUUUGCCUAGGAAAUGCCAAAGGGGGAGAUUGUUAGUGCAAUGUUUAUUUUGAUUGGCAUUUCCUAAGCGCAACAACCAAGAGUCAUCGUUUCUUGUAAUAGCUUUCUACUCUUGGAUCCUUGAAAGAAUGGAAUGCUUCAAGCUUCAUGUACCACUCUCAUCAAUCAGGUAUGUCUUGCAUACAUGUGCAUGCUUGUCAAGAGGUUAGGACUGAACUUGUCUUUGAAUCCUAUUGUAGGAUGCGAAAAUCUUUUCAAUCCUAAUGCAUUGAUAUGCGAAUUUUCAGAUGGUUUUAUCCAAAGCAUUCAAACUUUCUUAAAUUGGUUUAUGGGCUUUUCUAAAUGAUGAUUCUAUUUUAAUCCAUGCUUUAUAAAAGACGUCAUGAAGCCCAUGUACAUCAGAAACCCUAGCUCGUCCUCUCCUAUAUAUAUGUUUCUCUUAGGGUUGUUCAUGUUGGUGGAAUAUAUCAGAAUAUUUGGUCGUUGCCUUCUUGAGAGUUUUCUGCCUUUAUCUUCAGAAAGCAUUGAGCUAAAGUUUCAUGUGAGAAUCCUUCAUAAGCUGUUCCUUGUUUAGCUUUUGAAGGGUUAUCAAAUCCCAAGCUUUUUCUGUCAAAAAAGUUUUCUGGUUUUAUGCUUCAUGUGUGUUGGUAGUUCAUGCAUGAUUUGUGCCUUGAGGUGAUUGACAACCGAGGUGAGAGUUGUGCCAUCUUAAGAUUGACAAAGGAGAACAAGGUCGCUGAUUUGAAAGUAGCAAAGACGAGGAGACACCGCUGCCCACUAGAUUGGUUCUAGUAGAUGAGUUGUGUAAGAUCUUUAUGUACUUUCAUAUUCAUAUAGUGGAUUGUUCACCGGCAUAGUGCCCGCAGUUGUUUACCUCUUUGGAGGGUUUUACUGCGUCAACA